UACGUAGGGGGCAAGCGUUGUCCGGAUUUAUUGGGCGUAAAGAGCUCGUAGGUGGUUCGGUAAGUCGGAUGUGAAAUCUCCAGGCUCAACCUGGAGGGGUCAUUCGAUACUGCCGUGACUAGAGGUCGGUAGGGGAGUGUGGAAUUCCUGGUGGAGCGGUGAAAUGCGUAGAUAUCAGGAGGAAUACCGGUGGUGUAGACGGCUCUCUGGACCGCCACUGACGCUGAGACACGAAAGCGUGGGUAGCAAACAGG
rnacentral:rRNA from 1 species